UACGGGGGGGGCAAGCGUUGUUCGGAAUUACUGGGCGUAAAGCGUGCGCAGGCGGUUUGUUAAGUCUGAUGUGAAAGCCCCGGGCUCAACCUGGGAAUGGCAUUGGAAACUGGCAAGCUCGAGUAUGGCAGAGGGGGGUGGAAUUCCGCGUGUAGCAGUGAAAUGCGUAGAGAUGCGGAGGAACACCGAUGGCGAAGGCAGCCCCCUGGGCCAAUACUGACGCUCAGGCACGAAAGCGUGGGGAGCAAACAGG
rnacentral:rRNA from 1 species